GCUAAAUGGCUAUGCUCUCCAGAAGCGUAAUACACAGUAAUCCUCAGAACCGUGAAAUUUCUGCACUUGCUUCUUCCAUAACCUCUCUUCUGCAAACCCUAAACCCCACAAACCUCAACUCAGCUCCUUUAAACCAAUUCUCACCCUUCCUUGAGCCGGAGCUUGUCAUCAAUGUUAUCAAGAAGCAACCCAAUCCUUAUCAUGCUCUAUUCUUCUUCAACUGGGCCUCAAAUCCAAACCCUAACCCCAAUAACUAUUCCCAUACUCAUCCAUGCUAUGUGGCCAUCACCGACCUCCUACUCUCUCACUUCCUCUUCUCCCCUGCCUCUUCCCUCCUUCAGAAUUCCCAGAAACUCUCUGAUUUAAUGUAUUCCAAGUUUAUCAAAGCAUAUGGGGACAUGGGUGAUGUUAAAAGCGCAGUUUCCUGGUUCCACAAAGCCAAAAAUGCUGAAAAUGGGCGGUGCUUGUUUUCAUAUAAUGCUGUAUUGGGUGUUUAUGUUAAAGCGAAUCAAAUUAGUGUAGCUAAGAAUUGUUUUGAUCAGAUGGUAUAUGAGGGUGUGGUUAGACCAGAUGUUUCAACCUAUACAACGAUGCUAAGGGGUUUCUGUAAAAUGGGCAUGAUUGAAGAUGCACGGAAGAUGUUCGAUGAAAUGGCUUGCAAGCCAAAUUCGGUCACUUAUAACACUAUGAUUAGUGGUUUUUGUAAGAAGGGUGAUAUGGACAACGCCAGGAUGAUUUUUACAAGAAUGAAGGGGACUGAGAAUUGUGUGCCUAAUACGGUGACAUACACAACUCUGAUUGAUGGCUACUGUAAGAAAGACGAGUUCGAUGAAGCAAUGAAGUAUAUGAAGGAAAUGAUGGCUUCCGGUUGCAAGCCGAGUGUGUUGACAUACAAUGCAGUCAUUUAUAGUAUGUGUUUGAGAGGUAAGGUUGAUGAAGCGAAGAAAAUGAUGACCAAAAUGAGACUAAAUGGAUUGAAGGAUAAUGUUGCUACUAAUUCUAGUAUAUUAAAGGGUCUGUGCGUUUUGGGAAGGUCUGAAGAAGCUGUUAAACAUUUCAAGGAGAUGAUUAAAAAGGGAAUGAAGCCGGAGGCAAAAACAUACGAUGUUAUUGUCAUUGAGUAUUGCAAAAUCAAGAAACCAGAAGAAGCAAUAUCCCUUUUGAAAGAAAUGAAGUCUAGAGGAGUCAAACCGAGUGUUUCAAGUUUCAAUGCCUUGCUAAGGGUCCUCGUGGGAACUGCAGAGCUAGAUAGAGCUAUUUCAACUCUAAAACAGAUGCCACGAAUGGGGUGUUCACCCAAUUUCAUGUCAUACAGCACAGUCAUUUGUGGACUUUGUAUGGCUAAAGGUAGGAUGCAAGAAGUUGAAGAUCUUCUCAGCGACAUGCUUCGGGUUGGUCAUCGCAGAGAUGCCACCAUGUACAGUUGCUUAAUCAUGGGGUAUUGCAAGAAUGAGGAUGAUGACAAGGCAGUGAAUUUAUUCAAUGAAGCAAUUGAUGAGAAAUAUGUUGUUAGUUUGGAGAGCUUUUCAGUUUUGGUCAGGCAUUUAUGCUCAAAAGGCAAGGAGGCUGUGGCUGAAAAGAUCUUCAAGGAGAUGAAUAGCAGAUGCUGUGCAGUUGAUGUGGGAAGUUACAGAAAGGUGCUCGAUGAGCAAUUGGUUACCUCCGGUUAGCAGAUGAAGUUAUUCAAUGCCCGUCUUGCAGCAACAAGAGAUCACAGGAUUGAUUGUGGGGUUGGGAGUUAAAUGAUCUGUGUAUUGUGACAUAAUGGACUGCCAAGUGCUAACUGUGUAGUAGGUAACCUAGUGGUGGCCCUUGCAUUCUCUUAGACACAGCACAGAAUUGUCCAGUUUUGGCUGAAGGAGACGGGCACUAAGGGCCUGACAGGCUCACUAUUUCUUGGCAUGGUCCAUAUCAAUCUGGAUUGGCAACUGGUUUUGGAUACCAGCCCCUGGUUUGAUGCCGUCCUAACAAAACAGGUCUUCAAAAGCUUAAUAUUUUUUGGAUUAUCUCAUCUGUGGAUUGGUAAGAUAAUUUGAUCAUUCUUUGUUGAAUUUUUUUUCUCUAAUUAAUGCAAGUUCAGUUCUCUGUGUUUGGUUUUUUCGUGAAAAACUAGAUUGUUGGCGAUGUGCGUAGUGGUUGAUUGUCAUAGUGUAAAAUUCUAGGUUAAUUGAGUGAAAUUUUCUUAAGGUGUUGACUCCAACAGCUAUGUUUUGUCUUGUUAAUGUCAAGUACAUAAGUCACCAAUUAAUCUCUCAUAUUGAAGAGGGGGAAAAUUCUCAAGUGUGGGAUUCUUACACUUAUUUAAAGUGCGAG